UAACUGGCACUAAUGAUGCGAAACUUUAAAAAUACUCAACCAGUCCGCAACAAAUUAAAUACUAUCCAUCCCCAAGGUCCGAUAGCAAUGAUUUUUUCGAGCGUCUGGAAUAUUAUAGUUAUCAUAAUAUUUGCAUCGACAAAGCAUUCACCACGGAAAGCUAGAUGCAAUCCAAUGAUGUGUCAUUCUGAUAGUCAGCAUUAAUUAAGAAAAAGUAAAAUAAUUGGCUAACGGAAUAUUACUUUUUUUUAACUUUCAGUAUGUCUAGAAUACACUGUUAAAAUUUGAAAUCGAUCGAUUUAAUACUUUAAAUAAAAGAUAUAAGCUUUGAAA